AGCCUGGUGGUGUAACGGUAACACAUCUGCUUUAUGUAAUAGCUUUGCCACGUCUCAGCGGAAGAUCCUCGUUCGACUCAAGGUCAGGCCA